UACGAAGGGGGCUAGCGUUGCUCGGAAUCACUGGGCGUAAAGGGUGCGUAGGCGGGUCUUUAAGUCAGGGGUGAAAUCCUGGAGCUCAACUCCAGAACUGCCUUUGAUACUGAAGAUCUUGAGUUCGAGAGAGGUGAGUGGAAUUCCGAGUGUAGAGGUGAAAUUCGUAGAUAUUCGGAGGAAUACCAGUGGCGAAGGCGGCUAACUGGACCAUUAUUGACGCUCAGGCACGAAAGCGUGGGGAGCAAACAGG
rnacentral:rRNA from 1 species